GUGCUCACUGUGGCAGCGCAUAUACCAAAAUUGGAAUAAUACAGAGAAGAUUAGCAUGGCUCCUGCACAGGAUGACAAUGCCAAGGGCGCCAUAUAUGUAUAUAUAU
rnacentral:snRNA from 1 species